rnacentral:rRNA from 1 species
UAGGGAAUUUUCGCAAUGGGCGCAAGCCUGAACGAGCAAUGCCGCGUGAACGAGGAAGGUCUUCGGAUCGUAAAGUUCUGUUGAAGGGGAAAAAGAGCGGAGAGAGGAAAUGCUUUCUGAUUGAUAUUACCCUUCGAGGAAGUCACGGCUAACUACGUGCC